AGAGUUUGAUCCUGGCUCAGAAUGAACGCUGGCGGCGUGCUUAACACAUGCAAGUCGAACGGUAACAGGAGAAGCUUGCUUCUUGCUGACGAGUGGCGCACGGGUGAGUAAUGCAUAGGUAACGUGCCCCUUAGUCUGGGAUAGCCACUGGAAACGGUGAAUAAUACCGGAUAUUCCUUCUACCUUGAUGGUAGUCGGGAAAGUUUUUCGCUAAGGGAUCGGCCUAUGUCCUAUCAGGUAGUUGGUGAGGUAAAGGCUCACCAAGCCAAUGACGGGUAGCGGGUCUGAGAGGAUGAUCCGCCACACUGGUACUGAGACACGGACCAGACUCCUACGGGAGGCAGCAGUGGGGAAUAUUGCACAAUGGACGAAAGUCUGAUGCAGCAACGCCGCGUGGAGGAUGACACAUCUCGGUGCUAAACUCCUUUUAUAUAAGAAGAUAAUGACGGUAUUAUAUGAAUACAGCACCGGCUAACUCCGUGCCAGCAGCCGCGGUAAAUACGGAGGGUGCAAGCGUUAUUCGGAAUCACUGGGCGUAAAGGGUGCGUAGGCGGUUUGGAAAGUCAGAUGUGAAAGCCUACAGCUUAACUGUAGAACUGCAUUUGAAACUUCCAGACUAGAAUACUGAAGGGGCAGAUGGAAUUAGUGGUGUAGGGGUAAAAUCCGUAGAUAUCACUAGGAAUACCGAAAGCGAAAGCGAUCUGCUGGGAAGUUAUUGACGCUGAGGCACGAAAGCGUGGGGAUGCAAACGGGACUAGAUACCCUCGGUAGUCCACGCCCUAAAUCGAUGAAUGCUAGUCGUCGGAAAGCUCGUCUUUUCGGUGAUGCAGUUAACACAUUAAGCAUUCCGCCUGGGGAGUACGGUCGCAAGAUUAAAACUCAAAGGAAAUAGACGGGGACCCGCACAAGUGGUGGAGCAUGUGGUUUAAUUCGAAGAUACGCGAAGAACCUUACCUAGCCUUGACAUUGAUAGAAUCUGGUAGAGAUACCGGAGUGCCUGCUUGCAGGAACUUGAAAACAGGUGCUGCACUGGCUGUCGUCAGCUCGUGUCGUGAGAUGUUGGGUUAAGUCCCGCAACGAGCGCAACCCUCGCUGUCAGUUACCAACGGGUAAUGCCGGGGACUCUGACAGGACUGCCGGUGAUAAACCGGAGGAAGGCGGGGAUGACGUCAAGUCAUUAUGACCCUUACGCCCAGGGCUAGACACGUGCUACAAUGGUCGGUACAAUGAGCAGCGAGACCGCGAGGUGGAGCAAAUCUCAAAAAGCCGGCCCUAGUACGGAUUGGAGUCUGCAACUCGACUCCANGAAGCUGGAAUCGCUAGUAAUCGCGUAUCAGCAUGGACGCGGUGAAUACGUUCCCGGGAAUUGUACACACCGCCCGUCAAACCAUGGGAAUCGGUAGCACUCGAAGUCGCUGGCCCAACUUAUAGAGGGAAGCGCCGAAAGUGAGAUCGGUGACUGGGGUUAAGUCGUAACAAGGUAACC
rnacentral:rRNA from 1 species